AAAGUGUUUCUGCUUUUAUAUUUAGGAACUCAUUGGACCUUGCUCGAAGGCAAACUGUAAUGACAACCAAACAUGUCAGCAGCUUCCGUUCGGGGAAUUUAAGUGCAUUUUGUCAGACUGUGGAGUUCCUAGGAGUGAAAAUGUAACCCUUGACGCCGUAAAAAGGUGGGAUGGAAUUGGAAUCCAAAGGAGAAUACAUAUAAAAUGUGCAGAAAACUAUAAACAAACUGGGUCACAGCAGUUCAUAUGCCAAUCAAACGGAAAAUGGAGGACUGAUUUAAUCUGCGAAAAAGGCUGUGAUAAGGGUUGGAGUGAAUUCGAAAAUCAUUGUUACUAUAAAUACGAAACAAGUGUUACAUGGCAAGAAGCCAAGGAAAAAUGUGAAAAGAAAAAUGCUUAUCUGGUAGAAGUGAACGAAAAAAAGGAAAAUGAUUUUCUUCAAAAGACCUUCUUACAGAUCAUUGAAAGUAGUGCCUGUAGUGGAGAUAACACCUGUCCUGCGUGGAUCGGAG